rnacentral:tRNA from 12 species
UCUGAUGAGGUGCAGAGCUUAGCUGAUUGGUGAACAGUGACUGGUUUCCGCUUUGUUCACAGUGGCUAAGUUCUGCACCUGAA